AUGCGAUACGUAAUGUGAAUUGCAGAAUUCAGUGAAUCAUCGAAUCUUUGAACGCACCUUGCACUCUUUGGUAUUCCGAAGAGUAUGUCUGUUUGAGUGUCAUGAAACUCUCAACCCCCUCAUUUUGUAAUGAAGUGAGUCGUGGGCUUGGAUUAUGGCUGUCUGUCGGCUUCAUUGCCGGCUCAGCUGAAAUACACGAGUAACCCAGUUUGAAAAACUGACGGCUUGACUCGGCGUAAUAAUUAUUAUCGCUGAGGACGUCUAACCUUCAAAUCGUUAGUGGUGCUUCUAAUGCAAAUCAUUUUAAGAUUUAGACCUCAAAUCAGUCAGGAUUACCCGCUGAACUUAA
rnacentral:misc_RNA from 1 species